GUCUGUGGUUCAGAUCCUGGCCCUUAUACAUUUCUAGAUGUAGAAGUUCAAGCUCAGUAUCACUGAGUCAAAUUCAAGGUGUUGGCAGGACUGAGUUCCCUCCAGAGUCUCCAGAGGAGAAGCUGUUUCCAGCAUUUUCCAGUUUCUGGUGGCUGCUAGCAUUCCUUGGUUUGUGGCUUCAUCACCCCAAUAUUCAAGGAAACAAGAGGAUUCAUCUGACUUAACUGGAGAUGGCUCCCUUUCCUAAUUUUUGUUCCAUUCCUGAAGCUUCCGCCCUGCAGGGCUCAGCGUGAGCAGACAGGAACAUGCGAAGAGGCAAUUGCCCGAGAGAGUACAUCAUGUGAAACACUAUGCUGGAUGAAGCACAAGCUGGAAUCAAGAUUGCUGGGAAAAAUAUCGAAAACCUCAGAUAUGCAGAUGACACCAUCCUUAUGGCAGAAAGUGAAGACGAACUAAAGAGCCUCUUGAUGAACAUUAAAGAGGAGAGUGAAAAAGUUGGCUUAAAGCCCAACAUUCAGAAAACUAAGAUCAUGGCAUCCGGUCCCAUCACUUCAUGGCAAAAAAUGGGGAAAUAGUGGCUGACUUUAUUUUGGGGGGCUCCAAAAUCACUGCAGAUGGUGAUUGCAGCCAUGAAAUUAAAAGACACUUACUCCAUGGAAGAAAAGUUAUGACCAACCUAGACAGCAUAUUAAAAAGCUGAGACAUUACUAUGUCAACAAAGGUCCAUCUAGUCAAGGCUAUGGUUUUUCCAGUAGCCAUGUAUGGAUGUGAGAGUUGGACUAUAAAGAAAGCUGAGUGCAGGAGAAUUGAUACUUUUGAACUGUGGUGUUGGAGAAGACUCUUGAGAGUCCCUUGGACUGCAAGGAGAUCCAACCAGUCCAUCCUAAAGGAGAUCAGUCCUGGGUGUUCAUUGGAAGGACUGAUGUUGAAGCUGAAACUCCAAUACUUUGGCCACCUCAUGUGAAGAGCUGACUCAUUUGAAAAGACCCUGAUGCUGGGAAAGAUUGAAGGCAGGAGGAGAAGGGCAUGACAGAGGAUGAGAUGGUUGGAUGGCAUCACCGACUCAAUGGACAUGAGUUUGGGUAAACUCCGGGAGUUGGUGAUGGACAGGGAGGCCUGGCGUGCUGUGGUUCAUGGAGUCGCAAAGAGUCGGACACGACUGAGCGACUGAACUGACUGACUGAUACAGUAUAAUGAUUCGAUAUUUGUACAUAUUACAAAAUGAUCACAAUGUCUAGUUAAAGCCAUCAACAUACAUAGCUACAAAAAUUUUUUUUUCCCUUGUGAUGAACACUUUUUUUUUGGCCACGCUACAGACUACACGCCAUGUGGGAUCUUCCAGGACCACACCACACAGCAUGCAGGAUCCACCAGGGAGCAAACCUGUGUCCCCUGCACUGGAAGUGCAAAGUCCUAACCACUGGGCUGCCAAGGAGUUCCCAUGAUGAAAACUUUUAAGAUCUACUCCCUUAGCAACUUUCAAAUAUGCAAUAAAGUAUUAUUAACUAUAGUUACAACACUAUACAUUAUAUAUCCGUGACUUACUUCUUUUAUAACUGGAAGUUUGUACCUUUUGACCUCUGUCACUCAUUUUGUACCCCCUCACCACCACCCAUCUGUUCUCUGUAUCUAUGAGCUCAAGUUUAAAACUGCAUUUUUAUUUAAAUGUAUAACAGAGCAGAAGAUUUUGUCACCCUCUCUGAGACAUAUAUUUGGAAUGUCUGGCCACUGAGAACCUUCUCAUCCUCUACAGGCUUCACCAGAAACAAAGAACAGAGGAGGAAAUACACAGCUUCUUGAGUACUAGCAGUGAAAGGCCAGAGUUCUGACCGUAAACGUUAUAUUCUGUUUAAUCCCAGGUUUAGCAGAGGUAGUUGCUAGACAUUUAAAAUGGAUGAUUAUAUUUUACAAAGGGAGAAUAGAAUAAAAAAUUGGAAAAGAAUAGAGCCAAGAAUUCCAGACGAUGUGUUAGGUGCCCAGGACACCGCCGCAAACUCACAGAGGGUCUGUGGUGUAGGUUAAAUGUCAAGGGUGAUGCUUGACAUCUGUUGGCCACCAGGUGAACUACUUGGUCAAGGUUGUUCAGGGUUUCAACGUUAGAUUGUGCUGCACUCCUUUCAAAGAUAUCUUUGGGUUUUCAGCAGCUGUUAUAAAAUGAGAGUAGUAAGUAAAAAUCAGUGUGAACAUGAGGUGAAUAAGUGGUGGUGUCUAAACAGCUUCUAAGGUUUGAGAAGAUGUUCAAUGCUCAGUUGUCAUACCUAUCCUUUUAUAAAUAACUGUGGUUAAGAAUAAAACUUAAAAAAUUUUUUUUCAAUUUAUGGGUAUUAUUUUUUUCCAGCAGCUAAGUUGUUGGGAUCUUCCUAUUGGAUAAAUGAGAUUUUAUGGUGUUUUUUUUGGCCCAGGAUCUCUGUGAAAAAAUUACUGAGACACUAAGAUGCCAUGAAUUGGGAAAGUUUGGAAACCUCAGGAUUAGAGCAAUACAAAUUGUCUCAAUGGGCAAAGAUGGAUUUUAAUGACUUAGGCUCAAUGGUGAGUAUAGAAAAGUGAUUCUAUUUUUUUUCCCCUAGACUAUCCAGGGAACUGCUCACAGUAGUUCCCCUGUGGAAACAGGAACAGUCUUAGUCUGAAGGUUUUUUUAAUUAAUGGAACUGUUUGGUAGAUUAUUAAAAGUUGUCUUGUACAAUGAUUCUCAAACUAUCUUUCAAUCUGUCAUAGACUAUGUGAUAACUUGUGGUAACUUGGCUGGUCCAGGGAGCCCAGAUAUUUGGUCAAACAUUAUUCUAGACGUUUCAGUGAAGGUAAUUUUUUAGGUGAGAUUGACAACUAAAUUAGUAGUUGAGUAAAGCAGAAUGCCUCUAUAAUAUGGGUGGGCCUUAUCCAAUCAGUAGAAAGUCUUAACAGAAGAAAGACUGAACUCCCCUGAGCAAGAAGGAAUUCUGUAUAUAUAAACACUCACACACACACACACAUUCUGUUGGUUCUGUUUCUCUGGAGAACUCUAAUACAGAUUAAUACUUUUAAAAAAUGCAAUAAAAGUAAACUUCUAGGAAAUCAAUCAUAUGCUUUAAUUUUAUAAAAAUGUUAAGUUGUUAUACAACCUUCUAAAUGCUUAACUUCAAUUUCCAUGUUUAGUUUGUCUGAUUAAUAAGUCUAUUUCAUAAAUAACUUCAUUUGUAUCAUUUUUAGAUACCACAUAUAGUGAUAUCAUGUGAUAUUUGUCUUUCUUUGUCUGACUUACUUCACUUAGUAUGAUAAUCUCUAGGUCCAUCUAUGUUCUGAAGAUGACAUUAUUUUGAUCUUUUUUACAGCUUAGUAUUAUUCCACUGUACAUAAAUAUACAUCUUCUUUAUCCAUUCAUCUGUAGAUGAACAUUUAGAUUGCUUCCAUGUCUUGGCUAUUGUAAACAGUACUGCAAUAAACAUUAAGGUGCUUGUAUCUUUUUGAAUUAUAAUCUUCUCCAGAUAU